ACUCAAAGGAAUAGACGGGGGCCCGCACAAGCGGUGGAGCAUGUGGUUCAAUUCGACGCAACGCGAAGAACCUUACCUGGGCUCGAACGGGUGGUCAACGGAGGCGGAAACGCUUCUACCCCGCAAGGGGGUCCAUCCGAGGUGCUGCAUGGCUGUCGUCAGCUCGUGUCGUGAGAUGUUGGGUUAAGUCCCGCAACGAGCGCAACCCUUGUCCUGUGUUGCCAUCAUUCAGUUGGGAACUCGCAGGAGACCGCCAGCGAUAAGCUGGAGGAAGGUGGGGAUGACGUCAAGUCCUCAUGGCCUUUAUGUCCAGGGCUACACACGUGCUACAAUGGCCGGUACAAAGCGCAGCAAACCCGCGAGGGGGAGCCAAUCGCAAAAAACCGGUCUCAGUUCGGAUUGCAGGCUGCAACUCGCCUGCAUGAAGCUGGAAUCGCUAGUAAUGGCAGAUCAGCACGCUGCCGUGAAUACGUUCCCGGGCCUUGCACACACCGCCCGU
rnacentral:rRNA from 1 species